GUGAAUUUUCGAGACCUUUGGCACCGUUCUAAGAUGGGUCCUCUCUUCGUAGGCUAAUGCAUUGGCCCUUUUUGACCCGUUUUGGGGCGAAAACAAAAACUGACUCCCGGGCAUAUUUUUUUUCGGCCUUUAUGGGCAGAGAACUUUAAUACCGCUCGAAAUGAGGCCACCCAGUAGUUAGGUGUGAAUUUUCGAGACCUUUGGCACCGUUCUAAGAUGGGUCCUCUCUUCGUAGGCUAAUGCAUUGGCCCUUUUUGACCCGUUUUGGGGCGAAAACAAAAACUGACUCCCGGGCAUAUUUUUUUCGGCCUUUAUGGGCAGAGAACUUUAAUACCGCUCGAAAUGAGGCCACCCAGUAGUUAGGUGUGAAUUUUCGAGACCUUUGGCACCGUUCUAAGAUGGGUCCUCUCUUCGUAGGCUAAUGCAUUGGCCCUUUUUGACCCGUUUUGGGGCGAAAACAAAAACUGACUCCCGGGCAUAUUUUUUUCGGCCUUUAUGGGCAGAGAACUUUAAUACCGCUCGAAAUGAGGCCACCCAGUAGUUAGGUGUGAAUUUUCGAGACCUUUGGCACCGUUCUAAGAUGGGUCCUCUCUUCGUAGGCUAAUGCAUUGGCCCUUUUUGACCCGUUUUGGGGCGAAAAACAAAAACUGACUCCCGGGCAUAUUUUUUUUCGGCCUUUAUGGGCAGAGAACUUUAAUACCGCUCGAAAUGAGGCCACCCAGUAGUUAGGUGUGAAUUUUCGAGACCUUUGGCACCGUUCUAAGAUGGGUCCUCUCUUCGUAGGCUAAUGCAUUGGCCCUUUUUGACCCGUUUUGGGGCGAAAACAAAAACUGACUCCCGGGCAUAUUUUUUUCGGCCUUUAUGGGCAGAGAACUUUAAUACCGCUCGAAAUGAGGCCACCCAGUAGUUAGGUGUGAAUUUUCGAGACCUUUGGCACCGUUCUAAGAUGGGUCCUCUCUUCGUAGGCUAAUGCAUUGGCCCUUUUUGACCCGUUUUGGGGCGAAAACAAAAACUGACUCCCGGGCAUAUUUUUUUCGGCCUUUAUGGGCAGAGAACUUUAAUACCGCUCGAAAUGAGGCCACCCAGUAGUUAGGUGUGAAUUUUCGAGACCUUUGGCACCGUUCUAAGAUGGGUCCUCUCUUCGUAGGCUAAUGCAUUGGCCCUUUUUGACCCGUUUUGGGGCGAAAACAAAAACUGACUCCCGGGCAUAUUUUUUUCGGCCUUUAUGGGCAGAGAACUUUAAUACCGCUCGAAAUGAGGCCACCCAGUAGUUAGGUGUGAAUUUUCGAGACCUUUGGCACCGUUCUAAGAUGGGUCCUCUCUUCGUAGGCUAAUGCAUUGGCCCUUUUUGACCCGUUUUGGGGCGAAAACAAAAACUGACUCCCGGGCAUAUUUUUUUCGGCCUUUAUGGGCAGAGAACUUUAAUACCGCUCGAAAUGAGGCCACCCAGUAGUUAGGUGUGAAUUUUCGAGACCUUUGGCACCGUUCUAAGAUGGGUCCUCUCUUCGUAGGCUAAUGCAUUGGCCCUUUUUGACCCGUUUUGGGGCGAAAACAAAAACUGACUCCCGGCAUAUUUUUUUCGGCCUUUAUGGGCAGAGAACUUUAAUACCGCUCGAAAUGAGGCCACCCAGUAGUUAGGUGUGAAUUUUCGAGACCUUUGGCACCGUUCUAAGAUGGGUCCUCUCUUCGUAGGCUAAUGCAUUGGCCCUUUUUGACCCGUUUUGGGGCGAAAACAAAAACUGACUCCCGGGCAUAUUUUUUUCGGCCUUUAUGGGCAGAGAACUUUAAUACCGCUCGAAAUGAGGCCACCCAGUAGUUAGGUGUGAAUUUUCGAGACCUUUGGCACCGUUCUAAGAUGGGUCCUCUCUUCGUAGGCUAAUGCAUUGGCCCUUUUUGACCCGUUUUGGGGCGAAAACAAAAACUGACUCCCGGGCAUAUUUUUUUCGGCCUUUAUGGGCAGAGAACUUUAAUACCGCUCGAAAUGAGGCCACCCAGUAGUUAGGUGUGAAUUUUCGAGACCUUUGGCACCGUUCUAAGAUGGGUCCUCUCUUCGUAGGCUAAUGCAUUGGCCCUUUUUGACCCGUUUUGGGGCGAAAACAAAAACUGACUCCCGGGCAUAUUUUUUUCGGCCUUUAUGGGCAGAGAACUUUAAUACCGCUCGAAAUGAGGCCACCCAGUAGUUAGGUGUGAAUUUUCGAGACCUUUGGCACCGUUCUAAGAUGGGUCCUCUCUUCGUAGGCUAAUGCAUUGGCCCUUUUUGACCCGUUUUGGGGCGAAAACAAAAACUGACUCCCGGGCAUAUUUUUUUCGGCCUUUAUGGGCAGAGAACUUUAAUACCGCUCGAAAUGAGGCCACCCAGUAGUUAGGUGUGAAUUUUCGAGACCUUUGGCACCGUUCUAAGAUGGGUCCUCUCUUCGUAGGCUAAUGCAUUGGCCCUUUUUGACCCGUUUUGGGGCGAAAACAAAAACUGACUCCCGGGCAUAUUUUUUUCGGCCUUUAUGGGCAGAGAACUUUAAUACCGCUCGAAAUGAGGCCACCCAGUAGUUAGGUGUGAAUUUUCGAGACCUUUGGCACCGUUCUAAGAUGGGUCCUCUCUUCGUAGGCUAAUGCAUUGGCCCUUUUUGACCCGUUUUGGGGCGAAAACAAAAACUGACUCCCGGGCAUAUUUUUUUCGGCCUUUAUGGGCAGAGAACUUUAAUACCGCUCGAAAUGAGGCCACCCAGUAGUUAGGUGUGAAUUUUCGAGACCUUUGGCACCGUUCUAAGAUGGGUCCUCUCUUCGUAGGCUAAUGCAUUGGCCCUUUUUGACCCGUUUUGGGGCGAAAACAAAAACUGACUCCCGGGCAUAUUUUUUUCGGCCUUUAUGGGCAGAGAACUUUAAUACCGCUCGAAAUGAGGCCACCCAGUAGUUAGGUGUGAAUUUUCGAGACCUUUGGCACCGUUCUAAGAUGGGUCCUCUCUUCGUAGGCUAAUGCAUUGGCCCUUUUUGACCCGUUUUGGGGCGAAAACAAAAACUGACUCCCGGGCAUAUUUUUUUCGGCCUUUAUGGGCAGAGAACUUUAAUACCGCUCGAAAUGAGGCCACCCAGUAGUUAGGUGUGAAUUUUCGAGACCUUUGGCACCGUUCUAAGAUGGGUCCUCUCUUCGUAGGCUAAUGCAUUGGCCCUUUUUGACCCGUUUUGGGGCGAAAACAAAAACUGACUCCCGGGCAUAUUUUUUUCGGCCUUUAUGGGCAGAGAACUUUAAUACCGCUCGAAAUGAGGCCACCCAGUAGUUAGGUGUGAAUUUUCGAGACCUUUGGCACCGUUCUAAGAUGGGUCCUCUCUUCGUAGGCUAAUGCAUUGGCCCUUUUUGACCCGUUUUGGGGCGAAAACAAAAACUGACUCCCGGGCAUAUUUUUUUCGGCCUUUAUGGGCAGAGAACUUUAAUACCGCUCGAAAUGAGGCCACCCAGUAGUUAGGUGUGAAUUUUCGAGACCUUUGGCACCGUUCUAAGAUGGGUCCUCUCUUCGUAGGCUAAUGCAUUGGCCCUUUUUGACCCGUUUUGGGGCGAAAACAAAAACUGACUCCCGGGCAUAUUUUUUUCGGCCUUUAUGGGCAGAGAACUUUAAUACCGCUCGAAAUGAGGCCACCCAGUAGUUAGGUGUGAAUUUUCGAGACCUUUGGCACCGUUCUAAGAUGGGUCCUCUCUUCGUAGGCUAAUGCAUUGGCCCUUUUUGACCCGUUUUGGGGCGAAAACAAAAACUGACUCCCGGGCAUAUUUUUUUCGGCCUUUAUGGGCAGAGAACUUUAAUACCGCUCGAAAUGAGGCCACCCAGUAGUUAGGUGUGAAUUUUCGAGACCUUUGGCACCGUUCUAAGAUGGGUCCUCUCUUCGUAGGCUAAUGCAUUGGCCCUUUUUGACCCGUUUUGGGGCGAAAACAAAAACUGACUCCCGGGCAUAUUUUUUUCGGCCUUUAUGGGCAGAGAACUUUAAUACCGCUCGAAAUGAGGCCACCCAGUAGUUAGGUGUGAAUUUUCGAGACCUUUGGCACCGUUCUAAGAUGGGUCCUCUCUUCGUAGGCUAAUGCAUUGGCCCUUUUUGACCCGUUUUGGGGCGAAAACAAAAACUGACUCCCGGGCAUAUUUUUUUCGGCCUUUAUGGGCAGAGAACUUUAAUACCGCUCGAAAUGAGGCCACCCAGUAGUUAGGUGUGAAUUUUCGAGACCUUUGGCACCGUUCUAAGAUGGGUCCUCUCUUCGUAGGCUAAUGCAUUGGCCCUUUUUGACCCGUUUUGGGGCGAAAACAAAAACUGACUCCCGGGCAUAUUUUUUUCGGCCUUUAUGGGCAGAGAACUUUAAUACCGCUCGAAAUGAGGCCACCCAGUAGUUAGGUGUGAAUUUUCGAGACCUUUGGCACCGUUCUAAGAUGGGUCCUCUCUUCGUAGGCUAAUGCAUUGGCCCUUUUUGACCCGUUUUGGGGCGAAAACAAAAACUGACUCCCGGGCAUAUUUUUUUCGGCCUUUAUGGGCAGAGAACUUUAAUACCGCUCAAAAUGAGGCCACCCAGUAGUUAGGUGUGAAUUUUCGAGACCUUUGGCACCGUUCUAAGAUGGGUCCUCUCUUCGUAGGCUAAUGCAUUGGCCCUUUUUGACCCGUUUUGGGGCGAAAACAAAAACUGACUCCCGGGCAUAUUUUUUUCGGCCUUUAUGGGCAGAGAACUUUAAUACCGCUCAAAAUGAGGCCACCCAGUAGUUAGGUGUGAAUUUUCGAGACCUUUGGCACCGUUCUAAGAUGGGUCCUCUCUUCGUAGGCUAAUGCAUUGGCCCUUUUUGACCCGUUUUGGGGCGAAAACAAAAACUGACUCCCGGGCAUAUUUUUUUCGGCCUUUAUGGGCAGAGAACUUUAAUACCGCUCAAAAUGAGGCCACCCAGUAGUUAGGUGUGAAUUUUCGAGACCUUUGGCACCGUUCUAAGAUGGGUCCUCUCUUCGUAGGCUAAUGCAUUGGCCCUUUUUGACCCGUUUUGGGGCGAAAACAAAAACUGACUCCCGGGCAUAUUUUUUUCGGCCUUUAUGGGCAGAGAACUUUAAUACCGCUCAAAAUGAGGCCACCCAGUAGUUAGGUGUGAAUUUUCGAGACCUUUGGCACCGUUCUAAGAUGGGUCCUCUCUUCGUAGGCUAAUGCAUUGGCCCUUUUUGACCCGUUUUGGGGCGAAAACAAAAACUGACUCCCGGGCAUAUUUUUUUCGGCCUUUAUGGGCAGAGAACUUUAAUACCGCUCAAAAUGAGGCCACCCAGUAGUUAGGUGUGAAUUUUCGAGACCUUUGGCACCGUUCUAAGAUGGGUCCUCUCUUCGUAGGCUAAUGCAUUGGCCCUUUUUGACCCGUUUUGGGGCGAAAACAAAAACUGACUCCCGGGCAUAUUUUUUUCGGCCUUUAUGGGCAGAGAACUUUAAUACCGCUCAAAAUGAGGCCACCCAGUAGUUAGGUGUGAAUUUUCGAGACCUUUGGCACCGUUCUAAGAUGGGUCCUCUCUUCGUAGGCUAAUGCAUUGGCCCUUUUUGACCCGUUUUGGGGCGAAAACAAAAACUGACUCCCGGGCAUAUUUUUUUCGGCCUUUAUGGGCAGAGAACUUUAAUACCGCUCGAAAUGAGGCCACCCAGUAGUUAGGUGUGAAUUUUCGAGACCUUUGGCACCGUUCUAAGAUGGGUCCUCUCUUCGUAGGCUAAUGCAUUGGCCCUUUUUGACCCGUUUUGGGGCGAAAACAAAAACUGACUCCCGGGCAUAUUUUUUUCGGCCUUUAUGGGCAGAGAACUUUAAUACCGCUCAAAAUGAGGCCACCCAGUAGUUAGGUGUGAAUUUUCGAGACCUUUGGCACCGUUCUAAGAUGGGUCCUCUCUUCGUAGGCUAAUGCAUUGGCCCUUUUUGACCCGUUUUGGGGCGAAAACAAAAACUGACUCCCGGGCAUAUUUUUUUCGGCCUUUAUGGGCAGAGAACUUUAAUACCGCUCAAAAUGAGGCCACCCAGUAGUUAGGUGUGAAUUUUCGAGACCUUUGGCACCGUUCUAAGAUGGGUCCUCUCUUCGUAGGCUAAUGCAUUGGCCCUUUUUGACCCGUUUUGGGGCGAAAACAAAAACUGACUCCCGGGCAUAUUUUUUUCGGCCUUUAUGGGCAGAGAACUUUAAUACCGCUCAAAAUGAGGCCACCCAGUAGUUAGGUGUGAAUUUUCGAGACCUUUGGCACCGUUCUAAGAUGGGUCCUCUCUUCGUAGGCUAAUGCAUUGGCCCUUUUUGACCCGUUUUGGGGCGAAAACAAAAACUGACUCCCGGGCAUAUUUUUUUCGGCCUUUAUGGGCAGAGAACUUUAAUACCGCUCAAAAUGAGGCCACCCAGUAGUUAGGUGUGAAUUUUCGAGACCUUUGGCACCGUUCUAAGAUGGGUCCUCUCUUCGUAGGCUAAUGCAUUGGCCCUUUUUGACCCGUUUUGGGGCGAAAACAAAAACUGACUCCCGGGCAUAUUUUUUUCGGCCUUUAUGGGCAGAGAACUUUAAUACCGCUCAAAAUGAGGCCACCCAGUAGUUAGGUGUGAAUUUUCGAGACCUUUGGCACCGUUCUAAGAUGGGUCCUCUCUUCGUAGGCUAAUGCAUUGGCCCUUUUUGACCCGUUUUGGGGCGAAAACAAAAACUGACUCCCGGGCAUAUUUUUUUCGGCCUUUAUGGGCAGAGAACUUUAAUACCGCUCAAAAUGAGGCCACCCAGUAGUUAGGUGUGAAUUUUCGAGACCUUUGGCACCGUUCUAAGAUGGGUCCUCUCUUCGUAGGCUAAUGCAUUGGCCCUUUUUGACCCGUUUUGGGGCGAAAACAAAAACUGACUCCCGGGCAUAUUUUUUUCGGCCUUUAUGGGCAGAGAACUUUAAUACCGCUCAAAAUGAGGCCACCCAGUAGUUAGGUGUGAAUUUUCGAGACCUUUGGCACCGUUCUAAGAUGGGUCCUCUCUUCGUAGGCUAAUGCAUUGGCCCUUUUUGACCCGUUUUGGGGCGAAAACAAAAACUGACUCCCGGGCAUAUUUUUUUCGGCCUUUAUGGGCAGAGAACUUUAAUACCGCUCAAAAUGAGGCCACCCAGUAGUUAGGUGUGAAUUUUCGAGACCUUUGGCACCGUUCUAAGAUGGGUCCUCUCUUCGUAGGCUAAUGCAUUGGCCCUUUUUGACCCGUUUUGGGGCGAAAACAAAAACUGACUCCCGGGCAUAUUUUUUUCGGCCUUUAUGGGCAGAGAACUUUAAUACCGCUCAAAAUGAGGCCACCCAGUAGUUAGGUGUGAAUUUUCGAGACCUUUGGCACCGUUCUAAGAUGGGUCCUCUCUUCGUAGGCUAAUGCAUUGGCCCUUUUUGACCCGUUUUGGGGCGAAAACAAAAACUGACUCCCGGGCAUAUUUUUUUCGGCCUUUAUGGGCAGAGAACUUUAAUACCGCUCAAAAUGAGGCCACCCAGUAGUUAGGUGUGAAUUUUCGAGACCUUUGGCACCGUUCUAAGAUGGGUCCUCUCUUCGUAGGCUAAUGCAUUGGCCCUUUUUGACCCGUUUUGGGGCGAAAACAAAAACUGACUCCCGGGCAUAUUUUUUUCGGCCUUUAUGGGCAGAGAACUUUAAUACCGCUCAAAAUGAGGCCACCCAGUAGUUAGGUGUGAAUUUUCGAGACCUUUGGCACCGUUCUAAGAUGGGUCCUCUCUUCGUAGGCUAAUGCAUUGGCCCUUUUUGACCCGUUUUGGGGCGAAAACAAAAACUGACUCCCGGGCAUAUUUUUUUCGGCCUUUAUGGGCAGAGAACUUUAAUACCGCUCAAAAUGAGGCCACCCAGUAGUUAGGUGUGAAUUUUCGAGACCUUUGGCACCGUUCUAAGAUGGGUCCUCUCUUCGUAGGCUAAUGCAUUGGCCCUUUUUGACCCGUUUUGGGGCGAAAACAAAAACUGACUCCCGGGCAUAUUUUUUUCGGCCUUUAUGGGCAGAGAACUUUAAUACCGCUCAAAAUGAGGCCACCCAGUAGUUAGGUGUGAAUUUUCGAGACCUUUGGCACCGUUCUAAGAUGGGUCCUCUCUUCGUAGGCUAAUGCAUUGGCCCUUUUUGACCCGUUUUGGGGCGAAAACAAAAACUGACUCCCGGGCAUAUUUUUUUCGGCCUUUAUGGGCAGAGAACUUUAAUACCGCUCAAAAUGAGGCCACCCAGUAGUUAGGUGUGAAUUUUCGAGACCUUUGGCACCGUUCUAAGAUGGGUCCUCUCUUCGUAGGCUAAUGCAUUGGCCCUUUUUGACCCGUUUUGGGGCGAAAACAAAAACUGACUCCCGGGCAUAUUUUUUUCGGCCUUUAUGGGCAGAGAACUUUAAUACCGCUCAAAAUGAGGCCACCCAGUAGUUAGGUGUGAAUUUUCGAGACCUUUGGCACCGUUCUAAGAUGGGUCCUCUCUUCGUAGGCUAAUGCAUUGGCCCUUUUUGACCCGUUUUGGGGCGAAAACAAAAACUGACUCCCGGGCAUAUUUUUUUCGGCCUUUAUGGGCAGAGAACUUUAAUACCGCUCAAAAUGAGGCCACCCAGUAGUUAGGUGUGAAUUUUCGAGACCUUUGGCACCGUUCUAAGAUGGGUCCUCUCUUCGUAGGCUAAUGCAUUGGCCCUUUUUGACCCGUUUUGGGGCGAAAACAAAAACUGACUCCCGGGCAUAUUUUUUUCGGCCUUUAUGGGCAGAGAACUUUAAUACCGCUCAAAAUGAGGCCACCCAGUAGUUAGGUGUGAAUUUUCGAGACCUUUGGCACCGUUCUAAGAUGGGUCCUCUCUUCGUAGGCUAAUGCAUUGGCCCUUUUUGACCCGUUUUGGGGCGAAAACAAAAACUGACUCCCGGGCAUAUUUUUUUCGGCCUUUAUGGGCAGAGAACUUUAAUACCGCUCAAAAUGAGGCCACCCAGUAGUUAGGUGUGAAUUUUCGAGACCUUUGGCACCGUUCUAAGAUGGGUCCUCUCUUCGUAGGCUAAUGCAUUGGCCCUUUUUGACCCGUUUUGGGGCGAAAACAAAAACUGACUCCCGGGCAUAUUUUUUUCGGCCUUUAUGGGCAGAGAACUUUAAUACCGCUCAAAAUGAGGCCACCCAGUAGUUAGGUGUGAAUUUUCGAGACCUUUGGCACCGUUCUAAGAUGGGUCCUCUCUUCGUAGGCUAAUGCAUUGGCCCUUUUUGACCCGUUUUGGGGCGAAAACAAAAACUGACUCCCGGGCAUAUUUUUUUCGGCCUUUAUGGGCAGAGAACUUUAAUACCGCUCAAAAUGAGGCCACCCAGUAGUUAGGUGUGAAUUUUCGAGACCUUUGGCACCGUUCUAAGAUGGGUCCUCUCUUCGUAGGCUAAUGCAUUGGCCCUUUUUGACCCGUUUUGGGGCGAAAACAAAAACUGACUCCCGGGCAUAUUUUUUUCGGCCUUUAUGGGCAGAGAACUUUAAUACCGCUCAAAAUGAGGCCACCCAGUAGUUAGGUGUGAAUUUUCGAGACCUUUGGCACCGUUCUAAGAUGGGUCCUCUCUUCGUAGGCUAAUGCAUUGGCCCUUUUUGACCCGUUUUGGGGCGAAAACAAAAACUGACUCCCGGGCAUAUUUUUUUCGGCCUUUAUGGGCAGAGAACUUUAAUACCGCUCAAAAUGAGGCCACCCAGUAGUUAGGUGUGAAUUUUCGAGACCUUUGGCACCGUUCUAAGAUGGGUCCUCUCUUCGUAGGCUAAUGCAUUGGCCCUUUUUGACCCGUUUUGGGGCGAAAACAAAAACUGACUCCCGGGCAUAUUUUUUUCGGCCUUUAUGGGCAGAGAACUUUAAUACCGCUCAAAAUGAGGCCACCCAGUAGUUAGGUGUGAAUUUUCGAGACCUUUGGCACCGUUCUAAGAUGGGUCCUCUCUUCGUAGGCUAAUGCAUUGGCCCUUUUUGACCCGUUUUGGGGCGAAAACAAAAACUGACUCCCGGGCAUAUUUUUUUCGGCCUUUAUGGGCAGAGAACUUUAAUACCGCUCAAAAUGAGGCCACCCAGUAGUUAGGUGUGAAUUUUCGAGACCUUUGGCACCGUUCUAAGAUGGGUCCUCUCUUCGUAGGCUAAUGCAUUGGCCCUUUUUGACCCGUUUUGGGGCGAAAACAAAAACUGACUCCCGGGCAUAUUUUUUUCGGCCUUUAUGGGCAGAGAACUUUAAUACCGCUCAAAAUGAGGCCACCCAGUAGUUAGGUGUGAAUUUUCGAGACCUUUGGCACCGUUCUAAGAUGGGUCCUCUCUUCGUAGGCUAAUGCAUUGGCCCUUUUUGACCCGUUUUGGGGCGAAAACAAAAACUGACUCCCGGGCAUAUUUUUUUCGGCCUUUAUGGGCAGAGAACUUUAAUACCGCUCAAAAUGAGGCCACCCAGUAGUUAGGUGUGAAUUUUCGAGACCUUUGGCACCGUUCUAAGAUGGGUCCUCUCUUCGUAGGCUAAUGCAUUGGCCCUUUUUGACCCGUUUUGGGGCGAAAACAAAAACUGACUCCCGGGCAUAUUUUUUUCGGCCUUUAUGGGCAGAGAACUUUAAUACCGCUCAAAAUGAGGCCACCCAGUAGUUAGGUGUGAAUUUUCGAGACCUUUGGCACCGUUCUAAGAUGGGUCCUCUCUUCGUAGGCUAAUGCAUUGGCCCUUUUUGACCCGUUUUGGGGCGAAAACAAAAACUGACUCCCGGGCAUAUUUUUUUCGGCCUUUAUGGGCAGAGAACUUUAAUACCGCUCAAAAUGAGGCCACCCAGUAGUUAGGUGUGAAUUUUCGAGACCUUUGGCACCGUUCUAAGAUGGGUCCUCUCUUCGUAGGCUAAUGCAUUGGCCCUUUUUGACCCGUUUUGGGGCGAAAACAAAAACUGACUCCCGGGCAUAUUUUUUUCGGCCUUUAUGGGCAGAGAACUUUAAUACCGCUCAAAAUGAGGCCACCCAGUAGUUAGGUGUGAAUUUUCGAGACCUUUGGCACCGUUCUAAGAUGGGUCCUCUCUUCGUAGGCUAAUGCAUUGGCCCUUUUUGACCCGUUUUGGGGCGAAAACAAAAACUGACUCCCGGGCAUAUUUUUUUCGGCCUUUAUGGGCAGAGAACUUUAAUACCGCUCAAAAUGAGGCCACCCAGUAGUUAGGUGUGAAUUUUCGAGACCUUUGGCACCGUUCUAAGAUGGGUCCUCUCUUCGUAGGCUAAUGCAUUGGCCCUUUUUGACCCGUUUUGGGGCGAAAACAAAAACUGACUCCCGGGCAUAUUUUUUUCGGCCUUUAUGGGCAGAGAACUUUAAUACCGCUCAAAAUGAGGCCACCCAGUAGUUAGGUGUGAAUUUUCGAGACCUUUGGCACCGUUCUAAGAUGGGUCCUCUCUUCGUAGGCUAAUGCAUUGGCCCUUUUUGACCCGUUUUGGGGCGAAAACAAAAACUGACUCCCGGGCAUAUUUUUUUCGGCCUUUAUGGGCAGAGAACUUUAAUACCGCUCAAAAUGAGGCCACCCAGUAGUUAGGUGUGAAUUUUCGAGACCUUUGGCACCGUUCUAAGAUGGGUCCUCUCUUCGUAGGCUAAUGCAUUGGCCCUUUUUGACCCGUUUUGGGGCGAAAACAAAAACUGACUCCCGGGCAUAUUUUUUUCGGCCUUUAUGGGCAGAGAACUUUAAUACCGCUCAAAAUGAGGCCACCCAGUAGUUAGGUGUGAAUUUUCGAGACCUUUGGCACCGUUCUAAGAUGGGUCCUCUCUUCGUAGGCUAAUGCAUUGGCCCUUUUUGACCCGUUUUGGGGCGAAAACAAAAACUGACUCCCGGGCAUAUUUUUUUCGGCCUUUAUGGGCAGAGAACUUUAAUACCGCUCAAAAUGAGGCCACCCAGUAGUUAGGUGUGAAUUUUCGAGACCUUUGGCACCGUUCUAAGAUGGGUCCUCUCUUCGUAGGCUAAUGCAUUGGCCCUUUUUGACCCGUUUUGGGGCGAAAACAAAAACUGACUCCCGGGCAUAUUUUUUUCGGCCUUUAUGGGCAGAGAACUUUAAUACCGCUCAAAAUGAGGCCACCCAGUAGUUAGGUGUGAAUUUUCGAGACCUUUGGCACCGUUCUAAGAUGGGUCCUCUCUUCGUAGGCUAAUGCAUUGGCCCUUUUUGACCCGUUUUGGGGCGAAAACAAAAACUGACUCCCGGGCAUAUUUUUUUCGGCCUUUAUGGGCAGAGAACUUUAAUACCGCUCAAAAUGAGGCCACCCAGUAGUUAGGUGUGAAUUUUCGAGACCUUUGGCACCGUUCUAAGAUGGGUCCUCUCUUCGUAGGCUAAUGCAUUGGCCCUUUUUGACCCGUUUUGGGGCGAAAACAAAAACUGACUCCCGGGCAUAUUUUUUUCGGCCUUUAUGGGCAGAGAACUUUAAUACCGCUCAAAAUGAGGCCACCCAGUAGUUAGGUGUGAAUUUUCGAGACCUUUGGCACCGUUCUAAGAUGGGUCCUCUCUUCGUAGGCUAAUGCAUUGGCCCUUUUUGACCCGUUUUGGGGCGAAAACAAAAACUGACUCCCGGGCAUAUUUUUUUCGGCCUUUAUGGGCAGAGAACUUUAAUACCGCUCAAAAUGAGGCCACCCAGUAGUUAGGUGUGAAUUUUCGAGACCUUUGGCACCGUUCUAAGAUGGGUCCUCUCUUCGUAGGCUAAUGCAUUGGCCCUUUUUGACCCGUUUUGGGGCGAAAACAAAAACUGACUCCCGGGCAUAUUUUUUUCGGCCUUUAUGGGCAGAGAACUUUAAUACCGCUCAAAAUGAGGCCACCCAGUAGUUAGGUGUGAAUUUUCGAGACCUUUGGCACCGUUCUAAGAUGGGUCCUCUCUUCGUAGGCUAAUGCAUUGGCCCUUUUUGACCCGUUUUGGGGCGAAAACAAAAACUGACUCCCGGGCAUAUUUUUUUCGGCCUUUAUGGGCAGAGAACUUUAAUACCGCUCAAAAUGAGGCCACCCAGUAGUUAGGUGUGAAUUUUCGAGACCUUUGGCACCGUUCUAAGAUGGGUCCUCUCUUCGUAGGCUAAUGCAUUGGCCCUUUUUGACCCGUUUUGGGGCGAAAACAAAAACUGACUCCCGGGCAUAUUUUUUUCGGCCUUUAUGGGCAGAGAACUUUAAUACCGCUCAAAAUGAGGCCACCCAGUAGUUAGGUGUGAAUUUUCGAGACCUUUGGCACCGUUCUAAGAUGGGUCCUCUCUUCGUAGGCUAAUGCAUUGGCCCUUUUUGACCCGUUUUGGGGCGAAAACAAAAACUGACUCCCGGGCAUAUUUUUUUCGGCCUUUAUGGGCAGAGAACUUUAAUACCGCUCAAAAUGAGGCCACCCAGUAGUUAGGUGUGAAUUUUCGAGACCUUUGGCACCGUUCUAAGAUGGGUCCUCUCUUCGUAGGCUAAUGCAUUGGCCCUUUUUGACCCGUUUUGGGGCGAAAACAAAAACUGACUCCCGGGCAUAUUUUUUUCGGCCUUUAUGGGCAGAGAACUUUAAUACCGCUCAAAAUGAGGCCACCCAGUAGUUAGGUGUGAAUUUUCGAGACCUUUGGCACCGUUCUAAGAUGGGUCCUCUCUUCGUAGGCUAAUGCAUUGGCCCUUUUUGACCCGUUUUGGGGCGAAAACAAAAACUGACUCCCGGGCAUAUUUUUUUCGGCCUUUAUGGGCAGAGAACUUUAAUACCGCUCAAAAUGAGGCCACCCAGUAGUUAGGUGUGAAUUUUCGAGACCUUUGGCACCGUUCUAAGAUGGGUCCUCUCUUCGUAGGCUAAUGCAUUGGCCCUUUUUGACCCGUUUUGGGGCGAAAACAAAAACUGACUCCCGGGCAUAUUUUUUUCGGCCUUUAUGGGCAGAGAACUUUAAUACCGCUCAAAAUGAGGCCACCCAGUAGUUAGGUGUGAAUUUUCGAGACCUUUGGCACCGUUCUAAGAUGGGUCCUCUCUUCGUAGGCUAAUGCAUUGGCCCUUUUUGACCCGUUUUGGGGCGAAAACAAAAACUGACUCCCGGGCAUAUUUUUUUCGGCCUUUAUGGGCAGAGAACUUUAAUACCGCUCAAAAUGAGGCCACCCAGUAGUUAGGUGUGAAUUUUCGAGACCUUUGGCACCGUUCUAAGAUGGGUCCUCUCUUCGUAGGCUAAUGCAUUGGCCCUUUUUGACCCGUUUUGGGGCGAAAACAAAAACUGACUCCCGGGCAUAUUUUUUUCGGCCUUUAUGGGCAGAGAACUUUAAUACCGCUCAAAAUGAGGCCACCCAGUAGUUAGGUGUGAAUUUUCGAGACCUUUGGCACCGUUCUAAGAUGGGUCCUCUCUUCGUAGGCUAAUGCAUUGGCCCUUUUUGACCCGUUUUGGGGCGAAAACAAAAACUGACUCCCGGGCAUAUUUUUUUCGGCCUUUAUGGGCAGAGAACUUUAAUACCGCUCAAAAUGAGGCCACCCAGUAGUUAGGUGUGAAUUUUCGAGACCUUUGGCACCGUUCUAAGAUGGGUCCUCUCUUCGUAGGCUAAUGCAUUGGCCCUUUUUGACCCGUUUUGGGGCGAAAACAAAAACUGACUCCCGGGCAUAUUUUUUUCGGCCUUUAUGGGCAGAGAACUUUAAUACCGCUCAAAAUGAGGCCACCCAGUAGUUAGGUGUGAAUUUUCGAGACCUUUGGCACCGUUCUAAGAUGGGUCCUCUCUUCGUAGGCUAAUGCAUUGGCCCUUUUUGACCCGUUUUGGGGCGAAAACAAAAACUGACUCCCGGGCAUAUUUUUUUCGGCCUUUAUGGGCAGAGAACUUUAAUACCGCUCAAAAUGAGGCCACCCAGUAGUUAGGUGUGAAUUUUCGAGACCUUUGGCACCGUUCUAAGAUGGGUCCUCUCUUCGUAGGCUAAUGCAUUGGCCCUUUUUGACCCGUUUUGGGGCGAAAACAAAAACUGACUCCCGGGCAUAUUUUUUUCGGCCUUUAUGGGCAGAGAACUUUAAUACCGCUCAAAAUGAGGCCACCCAGUAGUUAGGUGUGAAUUUUCGAGACCUUUGGCACCGUUCUAAGAUGGGUCCUCUCUUCGUAGGCUAAUGCAUUGGCCCUUUUUGACCCGUUUUGGGGCGAAAACAAAAACUGACUCCCGGGCAUAUUUUUUUCGGCCUUUAUGGGCAGAGAACUUUAAUACCGCUCAAAAUGAGGCCACCCAGUAGUUAGGUGUGAAUUUUCGAGACCUUUGGCACCGUUCUAAGAUGGGUCCUCUCUUCGUAGGCUAAUGCAUUGGCCCUUUUUGACCCGUUUUGGGGCGAAAACAAAAACUGACUCCCGGGCAUAUUUUUUUCGGCCUUUAUGGGCAGAGAACUUUAAUACCGCUCAAAAUGAGGCCACCCAGUAGUUAGGUGUGAAUUUUCGAGACCUUUGGCACCGUUCUAAGAUGGGUCCUCUCUUCGUAGGCUAAUGCAUUGGCCCUUUUUGACCCGUUUUGGGGCGAAAACAAAAACUGACUCCCGGGCAUAUUUUUUUCGGCCUUUAUGGGCAGAGAACUUUAAUACCGCUCAAAAUGAGGCCACCCAGUAGUUAGGUGUGAAUUUUCGAGACCUUUGGCACCGUUCUAAGAUGGGUCCUCUCUUCGUAGGCUAAUGCAUUGGCCCUUUUUGACCCGUUUUGGGGCGAAAACAAAAACUGACUCCCGGGCAUAUUUUUUUCGGCCUUUAUGGGCAGAGAACUUUAAUACCGCUCAAAAUGAGGCCACCCAGUAGUUAGGUGUGAAUUUUCGAGACCUUUGGCACCGUUCUAAGAUGGGUCCUCUCUUCGUAGGCUAAUGCAUUGGCCCUUUUUGACCCGUUUUGGGGCGAAAACAAAAACUGACUCCCGGGCAUAUUUUUUUCGGCCUUUAUGGGCAGAGAACUUUAAUACCGCUCAAAAUGAGGCCACCCAGUAGUUAGGUGUGAAUUUUCGAGACCUUUGGCACCGUUCUAAGAUGGGUCCUCUCUUCGUAGGCUAAUGCAUUGGCCCUUUUUGACCCGUUUUGGGGCGAAAACAAAAACUGACUCCCGGGCAUAUUUUUUUCGGCCUUUAUGGGCAGAGAACUUUAAUACCGCUCAAAAUGAGGCCACCCAGUAGUUAGGUGUGAAUUUUCGAGACCUUUGGCACCGUUCUAAGAUGGGUCCUCUCUUCGUAGGCUAAUGCAUUGGCCCUUUUUGACCCGUUUUGGGGCGAAAACAAAAACUGACUCCCGGGCAUAUUUUUUUCGGCCUUUAUGGGCAGAGAACUUUAAUACCGCUCAAAAUGAGGCCACCCAGUAGUUAGGUGUGAAUUUUCGAGACCUUUGGCACCGUUCUAAGAUGGGUCCUCUCUUCGUAGGCUAAUGCAUUGGCCCUUUUUGACCCGUUUUGGGGCGAAAACAAAAACUGACUCCCGGGCAUAUUUUUUUCGGCCUUUAUGGGCAGAGAACUUUAAUACCGCUCAAAAUGAGGCCACCCAGUAGUUAGGUGUGAAUUUUCGAGACCUUUGGCACCGUUCUAAGAUGGGUCCUCUCUUCGUAGGCUAAUGCAUUGGCCCUUUUUGACCCGUUUUGGGGCGAAAACAAAAACUGACUCCCGGGCAUAUUUUUUUCGGCCUUUAUGGGCAGAGAACUUUAAUACCGCUCAAAAUGAGGCCACCCAGUAGUUAGGUGUGAAUUUUCGAGACCUUUGGCACCGUUCUAAGAUGGGUCCUCUCUUCGUAGGCUAAUGCAUUGGCCCUUUUUGACCCGUUUUGGGGCGAAAACAAAAACUGACUCCCGGGCAUAUUUUUUUCGGCCUUUAUGGGCAGAGAACUUUAAUACCGCUCAAAAUGAGGCCACCCAGUAGUUAGGUGUGAAUUUUCGAGACCUUUGGCACCGUUCUAAGAUGGGUCCUCUCUUCGUAGGCUAAUGCAUUGGCCCUUUUUGACCCGUUUUGGGGCGAAAACAAAAACUGACUCCCGGGCAUAUUUUUUUCGGCCUUUAUGGGCAGAGAACUUUAAUACCGCUCAAAAUGAGGCCACCCAGUAGUUAGGUGUGAAUUUUCGAGACCUUUGGCACCGUUCUAAGAUGGGUCCUCUCUUCGUAGGCUAAUGCAUUGGCCCUUUUUGACCCGUUUUGGGGCGAAAACAAAAACUGACUCCCGGGCAUAUUUUUUUCGGCCUUUAUGGGCAGAGAACUUUAAUACCGCUCAAAAUGAGGCCACCCAGUAGUUAGGUGUGAAUUUUCGAGACCUUUGGCACCGUUCUAAGAUGGGUCCUCUCUUCGUAGGCUAAUGCAUUGGCCCUUUUUGACCCGUUUUGGGGCGAAAACAAAAACUGACUCCCGGGCAUAUUUUUUUCGGCCUUUAUGGGCAGAGAACUUUAAUACCGCUCAAAAUGAGGCCACCCAGUAGUUAGGUGUGAAUUUUCGAGACCUUUGGCACCGUUCUAAGAUGGGUCCUCUCUUCGUAGGCUAAUGCAUUGGCCCUUUUUGACCCGUUUUGGGGCGAAAACAAAAACUGACUCCCGGGCAUAUUUUUUUCGGCCUUUAUGGGCAGAGAACUUUAAUACCGCUCAAAAUGAGGCCACCCAGUAGUUAGGUGUGAAUUUUCGAGACCUUUGGCACCGUUCUAAGAUGGGUCCUCUCUUCGUAGGCUAAUGCAUUGGCCCUUUUUGACCCGUUUUGGGGCGAAAACAAAAACUGACUCCCGGGCAUAUUUUUUUCGGCCUUUAUGGGCAGAGAACUUUAAUACCGCUCAAAAUGAGGCCACCCAGUAGUUAGGUGUGAAUUUUCGAGACCUUUGGCACCGUUCUAAGAUGGGUCCUCUCUUCGUAGGCUAAUGCAUUGGCCCUUUUUGACCCGUUUUGGGGCGAAAACAAAAACUGACUCCCGGGCAUAUUUUUUUCGGCCUUUAUGGGCAGAGAACUUUAAUACCGCUCAAAAUGAGGCCACCCAGUAGUUAGGUGUGAAUUUUCGAGACCUUUGGCACCGUUCUAAGAUGGGUCCUCUCUUCGUAGGCUAAUGCAUUGGCCCUUUUUGACCCGUUUUGGGGCGAAAACAAAAACUGACUCCCGGGCAUAUUUUUUUCGGCCUUUAUGGGCAGAGAACUUUAAUACCGCUCAAAAUGAGGCCACCCAGUAGUUAGGUGUGAAUUUUCGAGACCUUUGGCACCGUUCUAAGAUGGGUCCUCUCUUCGUAGGCUAAUGCAUUGGCCCUUUUUGACCCGUUUUGGGGCGAAAACAAAAACUGACUCCCGGGCAUAUUUUUUUCGGCCUUUAUGGGCAGAGAACUUUAAUACCGCUCAAAAUGAGGCCACCCAGUAGUUAGGUGUGAAUUUUCGAGACCUUUGGCACCGUUCUAAGAUGGGUCCUCUCUUCGUAGGCUAAUGCAUUGGCCCUUUUUGACCCGUUUUGGGGCGAAAACAAAAACUGACUCCCGGGCAUAUUUUUUUCGGCCUUUAUGGGCAGAGAACUUUAAUACCGCUCAAAAUGAGGCCACCCAGUAGUUAGGUGUGAAUUUUCGAGACCUUUGGCACCGUUCUAAGAUGGGUCCUCUCUUCGUAGGCUAAUGCAUUGGCCCUUUUUGACCCGUUUUGGGGCGAAAACAAAAACUGACUCCCGGGCAUAUUUUUUUCGGCCUUUAUGGGCAGAGAACUUUAAUACCGCUCAAAAUGAGGCCACCCAGUAGUUAGGUGUGAAUUUUCGAGACCUUUGGCACCGUUCUAAGAUGGGUCCUCUCUUCGUAGGCUAAUGCAUUGGCCCUUUUUGACCCGUUUUGGGGCGAAAACAAAAACUGACUCCCGGGCAUAUUUUUUUCGGCCUUUAUGGGCAGAGAACUUUAAUACCGCUCAAAAUGAGGCCACCCAGUAGUUAGGUGUGAAUUUUCGAGACCUUUGGCACCGUUCUAAGAUGGGUCCUCUCUUCGUAGGCUAAUGCAUUGGCCCUUUUUGACCCGUUUUGGGGCGAAAACAAAAACUGACUCCCGGGCAUAUUUUUUUCGGCCUUUAUGGGCAGAGAACUUUAAUACCGCUCAAAAUGAGGCCACCCAGUAGUUAGGUGUGAAUUUUCGAGACCUUUGGCACCGUUCUAAGAUGGGUCCUCUCUUCGUAGGCUAAUGCAUUGGCCCUUUUUGACCCGUUUUGGGGCGAAAACAAAAACUGACUCCCGGGCAUAUUUUUUUCGGCCUUUAUGGGCAGAGAACUUUAAUACCGCUCAAAAUGAGGCCACCCAGUAGUUAGGUGUGAAUUUUCGAGACCUUUGGCACCGUUCUAAGAUGGGUCCUCUCUUCGUAGGCUAAUGCAUUGGCCCUUUUUGACCCGUUUUGGGGCGAAAACAAAAACUGACUCCCGGGCAUAUUUUUUUCGGCCUUUAUGGGCAGAGAACUUUAAUACCGCUCAAAAUGAGGCCACCCAGUAGUUAGGUGUGAAUUUUCGAGACCUUUGGCACCGUUCUAAGAUGGGUCCUCUCUUCGUAGGCUAAUGCAUUGGCCCUUUUUGACCCGUUUUGGGGCGAAAACAAAAACUGACUCCCGGGCAUAUUUUUUUCGGCCUUUAUGGGCAGAGAACUUUAAUACCGCUCAAAAUGAGGCCACCCAGUAGUUAGGUGUGAAUUUUCGAGACCUUUGGCACCGUUCUAAGAUGGGUCCUCUCUUCGUAGGCUAAUGCAUUGGCCCUUUUUGACCCGUUUUGGGGCGAAAACAAAAACUGACUCCCGGGCAUAUUUUUUUCGGCCUUUAUGGGCAGAGAACUUUAAUACCGCUCAAAAUGAGGCCACCCAGUAGUUAGGUGUGAAUUUUCGAGACCUUUGGCACCGUUCUAAGAUGGGUCCUCUCUUCGUAGGCUAAUGCAUUGGCCCUUUUUGACCCGUUUUGGGGCGAAAACAAAAACUGACUCCCGGGCAUAUUUUUUUCGGCCUUUAUGGGCAGAGAACUUUAAUACCGCUCAAAAUGAGGCCACCCAGUAGUUAGGUGUGAAUUUUCGAGACCUUUGGCACCGUUCUAAGAUGGGUCCUCUCUUCGUAGGCUAAUGCAUUGGCCCUUUUUGACCCGUUUUGGGGCGAAAACAAAAACUGACUCCCGGGCAUAUUUUUUUCGGCCUUUAUGGGCAGAGAACUUUAAUACCGCUCAAAAUGAGGCCACCCAGUAGUUAGGUGUGAAUUUUCGAGACCUUUGGCACCGUUCUAAGAUGGGUCCUCUCUUCGUAGGCUAAUGCAUUGGCCCUUUUUGACCCGUUUUGGGGCGAAAACAAAAACUGACUCCCGGGCAUAUUUUUUUCGGCCUUUAUGGGCAGAGAACUUUAAUACCGCUCAAAAUGAGGCCACCCAGUAGUUAGGUGUGAAUUUUCGAGACCUUUGGCACCGUUCUAAGAUGGGUCCUCUCUUCGUAGGCUAAUGCAUUGGCCCUUUUUGACCCGUUUUGGGGCGAAAACAAAAACUGACUCCGGGCAUAUUUUUUUCGGCCUUUAUGGGCAGAGAACUUUAAUACCGCUCAAAAUGAGGCCACCCAGUAGUUAGGUGUGAAUUUUCGAGACCUUUGGCACCGUUCUAAGAUGGGUCCUCUCUUCGUAGGCUAAUGCAUUGGCCCUUUUUGACCCGUUUUGGGGCGAAAACAAAAACUGACUCCCGGGCAUAUUUUUUUCGGCCUUUAUGGGCAGAGAACUUUAAUACCGCUCAAAAUGAGGCCACCCAGUAGUUAGGUGUGAAUUUUCGAGACCUUUGGCACCGUUCUAAGAUGGGUCCUCUCUUCGUAGGCUAAUGCAUUGGCCCUUUUUGACCCGUUUUGGGGCGAAAACAAAAACUGACUCCCGGGCAUAUUUUUUUCGGCCUUUAUGGGCAGAGAACUUUAAUACCGCUCAAAAUGAGGCCACCCAGUAGUUAGGUGUGAAUUUUCGAGACCUUUGGCACCGUUCUAAGAUGGGUCCUCUCUUCGUAGGCUAAUGCAUUGGCCCUUUUUGACCCGUUUUGGGGCGAAAACAAAAACUGACUCCCGGGCAUAUUUUUUUCGGCCUUUAUGGGCAGAGAACUUUAAUACCGCUCAAAAUGAGGCCACCCAGUAGUUAGGUGUGAAUUUUCGAGACCUUUGGCACCGUUCUAAGAUGGGUCCUCUCUUCGUAGGCUAAUGCAUUGGCCCUUUUUGACCCGUUUUGGGGCGAAAACAAAAACUGACUCCCGGGCAUAUUUUUUUCGGCCUUUAUGGGCAGAGAACUUUAAUACCGCUCAAAUGAGGCCACCCAGUAGUUAGGUGUGAAUUUUCGAGACCUUUGGCACCGUUCUAAGAUGGGUCCUCUCUUCGUAGGCUAAUGCAUUGGCCCUUUUUGACCCGUUUUGGGGCGAAAACAAAA
rnacentral:lncRNA from 1 species